AUCGUUCAAGAAUUUGAUCAAUGAAAGGCAGAGGAAAAUGAUAUUUUAGAGUGGCUAUAUUUAGUUUCCUAUAAUCGAUGCACAUUCUACUUCCGAUCACAACUCUUUGUGCUAUAGAUUCGCCUUUUUCGUUCUUAACAACUGUAACACCCCCUUUCUUGGGUACUACAUGAACGAGGCUAAUCCAUUGACUAUCAGAGACCGGGUAUAUGAUUCCUGCAUCUAAUAACUUC
rnacentral:lncRNA from 1 species